AAGACUGUACUUCCAGGGAUCAUUUCUAUAGUAUAUGUUUGCUCUUUCUACAACAGUUCUUCAGAACCAGGCAUAUUUUAAAUGCUUCAUGAAAAUAUAUGGU
rnacentral:snoRNA from 1 species